rnacentral:rRNA from 1 species
AAGACCUUGCACUUUUGGAGCGGCCGAMGUCUGAUUAGCUAGUUGGUGGGGUAAUGGCCUACCAAAGCUUCGAUCAGUAGCUGGUCUGAGAGGACGGCCAGCCACACUGGGACUGAGACACGGCCCAGACUCCUACGGGAGGCAGCAGUGGGGAAUUUUGGACAAUGGGCGCAAGCCUGAUCCAGCCAUGCCGCGUGAGUGAAGAAGGCCUUCGGGUUGUAAAGCUCUUUCAGCCGGGAAGAAGAGGUUGCGACUAAUAAUCGCAAUCCAUGACGGUACCGAAAGAAGAAGCACCGGCUAACUACGUGCCAGCAGCCGCGGUAAUACGUAGGGUGCGAGCGUUAAUCGGAAUUACUGGGCGUAAAGGGUGCGCAGGCGGUUUUGUAAGUCAGAUGUGAAAUCCCCGGGCUUAACCUGGGAACU